CCAAAGUCAAAUACAAGUGCUUUUAUUAUCUUCUAUCUUUUAUAAUUCAUGCCUAUGUUCCCAAGCAUUUUCGUGGAUAACCGAAAAAUGGCAACAUAACAAAUUUCUUCCCUUGAGUCUCCAUUUCUCUCAGGGCAGAUGAGCUACCUGCAGCAGGCUCUCCCGGUAGCAGAGGACAGCUGUGCCUCUCAGGUAAUCCAGCGGUCUUGUCCUGAAGGUUGUGCCCUUUAACUGUCCUUCCCAACCUGGAAUGAACCAAUACACAUCGUCUCCUGGGCACAGAACAGCUCCAAAAGGUCUUUUGUUUCCACGCUCCUAUACUCCAGUCUUCACACUCCUCCGACUUUGCUUUAUUUUCAGCAUGAAAUAUUUGUAUCCCCACGGUAUCUUAUUUUGAUAGCUGAUUUAUUGUUAUCUCUCAUAUUGUGCUUUUUAAGACGUCACUGCUGGUAACCCAUUAAGACUUUGUAUUGGAAGAAAAAAUAUCCAUCCUGUCCUGGAGUAAGAACCAUAGCCCAAAAGACAGACUUUCCCCACAAUGGAAUCCCUGCCAAGAAGACAGCUCCACGGCCAGCACCAGCACCCCAGCACCCCCACCUCUUCAUCCUUGGAGUAAGAAAACCCAGACAUCUAUCUGGACCUGAAACUGCCUUUGCUUGAGAAAGCAUGAACCUCUGAGACAAGAGAGGAAAUGCUGUAGACAAUAGCAGAAGUUGUGCAGUCCACAAAUGCUCAGCUCUUCACCACACCCAUUGGUGGAAUUUGUUACCAGUAAACACUCAUUGCUCUAAGCACCAUUAUUUAUUAGAGAUGAAAGAAAAAAUCGUCUGCUUUUAAAGUCAGCUUAGCUCCAAAUAUAAUACAUAGGAAAAUUGGAUAUUUUUGCUUUUCUGAGCUAGAAACUAGUCAGGGAAACCCUUUGCUACCUAAAGAUUGCUCUUUUCUGUGUACCUUGAGCACAAUUUCUUCCUUGAAGCUCCAAGAUGGGCAUUAUUUCAAAUCGGAUUGUAAAGUAAUCAGGGCAGGGAACACGAUGGAAACUCAUGGAACACUGUUUGGAAAUCUUACCACAAUUCUUUAGGAGUUAUACCUAUAAAUGAAAUCUCAAUGUUUAGUCUUAAACUUACUAAGCAACAAGAAAUGUUUAACAUCUAACCUAGGUAAAAGAAUGAUGAAAAGAAUAAUAAAGAAUAAAGAAAAAGAACAGUGAGAGUACCAGCCACAUUCCACAUCCUGAAGAGGUUCCUUCAGUCUUACCCAGCCUGUCUCCUCAUAAGUGAAGCUGCUAUAAUUCUCAGAACUUCAGAAAUCUCUCAGGCUCUUCUCCUUCCUUUCAGGGUAUCUCUUGACUCAAUUCAGUAGCUGCAUAUCUGCCUCUCUCUGACUCUUGUCUGGUGAUGAGCAGAGUAUUCCGCCUUCUCGGCUAUCAAACAUUACUCACUUCAGGAGGCUGUGGGCUCCCCUGGGUUCAUGUUCUGCAGCCUAGAGGCCAAAUAAUGCCCCUCCCAUCACCCUGGAACCUGGUGCAUUACCUAUGCUUCCACCUAUUUGGAAGAAAAAGUCAGAUCUUGUCCUUACUGCUUACUCCUUACUUAAGCCCUCUGAGUUUCAGUUUUCUCUUCUAUAAAAUGGGCUAGACCUAGCCAUGCCAAAUGGUUGCUAGGUUUAGAAAUACUUCAUGUGGAACCCCCGGAACAAGGUUUAAAAUGUAUUAGGUACUCCAUAAACAGUAAUAAAAAUAACAGAAAGAAUAAUAAUGACAAUAAUAAAUUAGAAGUAAACAAUUCCGCAUUAUGAAACAAGCACUAACUCCAUAAACAAAAAACUGGUCACCUAUUGGAAUAUAUGAGAUGAUAGAAGUCAUAGGAGCCAGAAAAUUUUUAAAUAUUCAACCAAAUCCUUACAAAUAUCCCAUGAGGUAGUAUGAUCAGCAUUUUCCACAUGAGGAAACUGAGGCAUGGAAGGACUAAAUAAUUCACCCAACGCCCUAACCCUUUUUUGACCCCAGUUUGCUCUGACCCUGAAACCCAUGCUUUUAUUUCACCAUUCUAUUCCUUUUAGACUGAGAAAUCUGUCUUCAUCUCAGUACUGGAGAAGUAGACGAAGGGCUUCUGCUAUUGAAAGUCAUCCUGAUUCAGUUUGAAGUGCCCUAGAGAGAGUUUCCAAGGUUCAGCAUCUCAUACAAGGACUCCACAAUCCUUCCCCUCCAGAAUCCACUCGUUAAAAUCAUGAUGGAGUCCACCUUGGUCUUUG
rnacentral:lncRNA from 1 species